rnacentral:rRNA from 1 species
CUUUACUGUAACCUGGAAUUGGGUUCGGGCUUUGCUUGCGCAGGAUAGGUGGGAGGCGUUGAGAUAUUCCUUGUGGGGAAUGUGGAGCCAACGGUGAGAUACCACUCUGGUGAGGCUAGAAUUCUAACCCGAUGCCGUGAACCGGCUCGGGAACAGUUUCAGGCGGGCAGUUUGACUGGGGCGGUCGCCUCCUAAAAGGUAACGGAGGCGCGCAAAGGUUCUCUCAGGCUGGUUGGAAAUCAGACAUUGAGUGUAAAGGCAAAAGGGAGCUUGACUGCGAGACAAACACGUCGAGCAGGGUGGAAACACGGCCUUAGUGAUCCGACGGCGCUGCGUGGAAAGGCCGUCGCUAAACGGAUAAAAGUUA